AUUUUUCAAACUGAAUCUUGAUUCAGUGUCUAGCAUGCCAUGGGGAAGGAGUGAAAACACACCCUGAUGAAAACCCAUCCAGAGUCAGCACAUUUGAGAAGUUCCACUGUGAGCAUCAAGAGCUCACCACCUCCAAAAGCACACGGCCUGGACAGCCACUCCCUGAAGCAAAUCUGCCAUGUAUCCAUAUAUUCAUGCUGUACUGGGAGAAACAGUUGGAUAGGGGCAUGGUGUUUGUCUUCACAAAGCUCACAGGACUGAGAUGAUGACGUAAGGAAGUAGUCACAAGGCAGUAUGGAUAGCAGGCAAGAACUGGGGUCCCGGGGCCGCACUGCCUGGAUUCCAAGCCUGAUUUUGCAUGCAUGACUUGAGACUUCAGGGGCAAGUCCAGCCAGUCAGCAAGCCACCUGAAUUUACAGGAGUGACAUUUCCACGUUAUUCAAAUUCAAAACAAGCCUACUCGGUGAACCUCAGCCCCAAGGAAUUCACAGUGCUCUACAUCGACUCCCAAUUUGCAAUUCUAGCAUCUCACUGAGACCAGGCAGUACAGAAAGAGACCUUGUGUUUUGUGACAAGUUCUUCUUUCAAGUCUUCAUGCUCAAAGAGAAUUGACUACAGAGUGUCAGGUGUCCUUCAGCUGAGAUUUAACAAGCAGUCAUCACAACUCCAUCUUUCUCCCUCACGAAACUGUUUCUCCUGAAUGCCCAUGAAAAUGUUAUCACAUAGGAAAUAUUUGUGAGACCUGAUCUCUAAUAAUUAUCAGCACUGAACGACUUUUGAAUGAAGAAAAUGG
rnacentral:lncRNA from 1 species